UACGGAGGGUGCAAGCGUUGUUCGGAAUCACUGGGCGUAAAGCGCGUGUAGGCGGCCUCCUAAGUCUGAUGUGAAAGCCCGGGGCUCACCCCCGGAAGUGCAUUGGAUACUGGGAGGCUGGAGUACCGGAGAGGAGGGUGGAAUUCCUGGUGUAGAGGUGAAAUUCGUAGAUAUCGGGAGGAACACCAGUGGCGAAGGCGGCGAUCUGGGAAGAUACUGACGCUGAGGUGCGAAAGCGUGGGGAGCAAACAGG
rnacentral:rRNA from 1 species